rnacentral:rRNA from 1 species
GUGGGGAAUAUUGGACAAUGGGCGAAAGCCUGAUCCAGCCAUGCCGCGUGUGUGAAGAAGGUCUUCGGAUUGUAAAGCACUUUAAGUUGGGAGGAAGGGCAGUAAGUUAAUACCUUGCUGUUUUGACGUUACCAACAGAAUAAGCACCGGCUAACUUCGUGCCAGCAGCCGCGGUAAUACGAAGGGUGCAAGCGUUAAUCGGAAUUUCUGGGCGUAAAGCGCGCGUAGGUGGUUCAGCAAGUUGGAGGUGAAAUCCCCGGGCUCAACCUGGGAACUGCCUCCAAAACUACUGAGCUAGAGUACGGUAGAGGGUAGUGGAAUUUCCUGUGUAGCGGUGAAAUGCGUAGAUAUAGGAAGGAACACCAGUGGCGAAGGCGACUACCUGGACUGAUACUGACACUGAGGUGCGAAAGCGUGGGGAGCAAACAGGAUUAGAUACCCCUGUAGUCC